rnacentral:snRNA from 1 species
GCGUUCACGCAUUUUUAAUAUUGGAACGAUACAGAGAAGAUUAGCAUGGCCCCUGCGCAAGGAUGACACGCAUAUCUCGAGAAAAGGUUCCUUAAUAAUA